UUUGCCAUUUAUUUCAGACAAAAGUUGUUUCGUAAAACUGUGACUUUUGACCUCGGCAUGCAGAUUUCGGCGAGAGCUUUGCCGACUGCGGGCGCCAAGCGAGUCACGAGGACCGAUUUCCAUGGCACGCGAAUCUCGUCCUCCGAACUGACUCGGGCAACGUCACCAACUUUUGCUCGGCGACGCUCAUUUCCAACAAGACCCUCAUCACUGCGGCGUACUGUAUUUUCAACGAAACAGAUCUGCAAGUCGUGCUUGGGACGUCAAAUGAGAACAAGGAAACGCAACAAACGUUUAAGGUUUCCAAGGUGGUUGUGCACCACGACACGGGCAGGGCUGACUUCAAGGACGCGAUUGGAUUGAUCGUUUUGCAGGAGGAGGUGCAAAUCGGCGACUCGGUGCGGCCGAUCUGUCUGUGGAACUCGGACUACAACCUCGGCAAGAUCGCCAA